AUUUGAAUCAGGGUUUCAUCAGAACUUCAUUCAGAAAAUCUGAAUCCAAUAGUGAUGGGACAAUGUUUCACAUCUAAGGCGCAACAAAUCUUUGUACUGUACUUUAUGUUGUGGAUUUUAGUUUCCCAAAAGGAAGAUAGUCCAAAUGAGUUAGCAUCAUGCCUGCAAUGUCACCAUGUGCCUCCAUUACUCCUCCUAUAUAUCAUUUCCAAAGCUUUGCAAACAAGCCUUGUGCCAGCAUUUGCCCAUUCAUCAUCAUCACACUUUGUUUGAUAGAAAUAAAUGAAAAAGUGGGUCUGCAGUUGAUGACAAAGAGGAGUUAAAGGGGGAAGGUUGGUGCAUGCUUCAUACUUUUUAGUUAUAUAUAUAGCUGCAAAACCAUGGGUUACAAGCAGAUUUUGGUGCAGAGGACCAAAGAGAAAGAAAAGACCCAGUUAGCUAGUGUGUGUUAACUCAAGUGAAAGUGCAGUGCAGUGCUUGGAGAACAAAGCAGGGGAAGCAAUGGAAGGUGGUAGCUCAAAUAGUACAAAUUUAGGACCAAAAACAUCAGAGUUGGAAGCAUUGCAGAAAGAGAGUGAAGAGAAACACUUCAAAAUUCAAGAGCUCAAGAGACAGAUUGAAUUGACAAAACAGAACUUGGAAAA